CCCCUAGGGACCAAGCGUUGUUCGGAUUUACUGGGCGUAACGUUCGCGUAGGCGGCAAUUCAAGUCAUCUGUGAAAUCUCCGGGCUUAACCCGGAACGGUCAGGUGAUACUGUUUUGCUAGAGUGCGGAAGGGGCAAUCGGAAUUCUCGGUGUAGCGGUGAAAUGCGUAGAUAUCGAGAGGAACACCAGAGGUGAAGACGGGUUGCUGGGCCGACGCUGACGCUGACAGCGCGAAAGCCAGGGGAGCAAACGGG
rnacentral:rRNA from 1 species